UAACGUUUUGGUGUUGCAACGAAAAUGG
rnacentral:piRNA from 1 species